CAAUAGCGUAUAUUAAAGUUGUUGCAGUUAAAAAGCUCGUAGUUGGAUUUCUGAUCGAGACAUCAGGUCGGGUCCGAGAGGAUCAUGUACUUUGAUUUUGUUUUGAUCAUCCUUGGGGAGAGCAUUUCUGGCAUUCAGUUGUCGGGAUUGGGAUCCUCAUCGUUUACUGUGAAAAAAUUAGAGUGUUCAAAGCAGGCCUCGGCCUCUGAAUACAUUAGCAUGGAAUAAUAAGAUAGGACUUUGGUGGUCUAUUUUGUUGGUUUGCACGCCGAAGUAAUGAUUAAUAGGGAUAGUUGGGGGUAUUCGUAUUCAAUUGUCAGAGGUGAAAUUCUUGGAUUUAUGGAAGACGAACUACUGCGAAAGCAUUUACCAAGGAUGUUUUCAUUAA
rnacentral:rRNA from 1 species